UAAUUGAAGAGUUUGAUCAUGGCUCAGAUUGAACGCUGGCGGCAGGCCUAACACAUGCAAGUCGAGCGGUAACAGGAGAAAGCUUGCUUUCUUGCUGACGAGCGGCGGACGGGUGAGUAAUGUAUGGGGAUCUGCCCGAUAGAGGGGGAUAACUACUGGAAACGGUAGCUAAUACCGCAUGACGUCUACGGACCAAAGCAGGGGCUCUUCGGACCUUGCGCUAUCGGAUGAACCCAUAUGGGAUUAGCUAGUAGGUGAGGUAAUGGCUCACCUAGGCGACGAUCCCUAGCUGGUCUGAGAGGAUGACCAGCCACACUGGAACUGAGACACGGUCCAGACUCCUACGGGAGGCAGCAGUGGGGAAUAUUGCACAAUGGGCGCAA
rnacentral:rRNA from 1 species